UUCUGAUCCGUGGCCGUGACUCCCAGCCGCACGCCCUGACGCACUUCCCCGGUGUCAGGUCAGGCGGAUGGGGAUCAGGGCCCCGGAUCCCACCGGA
rfam:Microbacterium sp. SCN 70-200 ABS62_C0006, whole genome shotgun sequence.